UUUCCAUUCUUCUUAUUUUUUGAUUUAUUCUUACCUUUUCCACCCAUUUACCUAAAUGAAUUUGAAUGAAUGAUACAAGGUCAAAAAGGUAGAAAAGAAAG
rnacentral:ribozyme from 21 species